UGGUGUGGCUGAAUUAGGCAAUAGACUGUAAAUCUAUUAAUGAGUAAAUCUCCACCAUUA
rnacentral:tRNA from 1 species